rnacentral:rRNA from 1 species
AGGGCACCACCAGGAGUGGAGCCUGCGGCUUAAUUUGACUCAACACGGGGAAACUUACCCGGCCUGGGCACUGGAAGGAUUGACAGAUUGAGAGCUCUUUCUUGAUUCAGUGGGUGGUGGUGCAUGGCCGUUCUUAGUUGGUGGAGCGAUUUGUCUGGUUAAUUCCGAUAACGAACGAGACUCUAGCCUAUUAAAUAGGCUCUCGGCUUUUAAACGCCGGGAGGACUUCUUAGAGGGACAGGUGGCGGUUCAGCCGCACGAAAGAAAGCAAUAACAGGUCUGUGAUGCCCUUUGUUGUCCGGGGCCGCACGCGCGCUACACUGAAGAGAUCAGCGUGCUUUACGUUCCUGCUCCGACCGGAGUGGGGAACCCAGUGAACCUUCUUCGUGAUUGGGAUAGAAGAUUGUAAUUAUUCUUCUUGAACGAGGAAUUCCCAGUAAAUGCGAGUCAUAAGCUCGCGUUGAUUACGUCCCUGCCCUUUGUACACACCGCCCGUCGCUACUACCGAUUGAACGAUUU